UCAUUCUCUUUCAUUCUGUUUCAUUUUCAUUCACUGUCUGUCUGUCUGUCUGUCUGUCUGUCUGUCUGUCUGUCUGUCUGUCUGUCUGUCUGUCUGUCUGUCUGUCUGUCUGUCUGUCUGUCUGUCUGUCUGUCUGUCUGUCUGUCUGUCUGUCUGUCUGUCUGUCUGUCUGUCUGUCUGUCUGUCUGUCUCUCUCUCUCUCUCUCUCUCUCUCUCUCUCUCUCUCUCUCUCUCUCUCUCUCUCUCUCUCUCUCUCUCUCUCUCUCUCUCUCUCUCUCUCUCUCUCUCUCUCUCUCUCUCUCUCUCUCUCUCUCUCACACAAUAACAUUUAUUUUUAUUGAACCUUUAUUUAACUAGGCAAGUCAGUUAAGAACAAAUUCUAAUUUACAAUAACAACCUACACCAGCCAAACUCGGACGACAUGACUGUGACGCCGCAGUAAAUGUCUAUUACCAGAAAGAUAAGGAUCUUCUUUCAAUAAUUACAAUAUAUUAUGUUUGUUUUGGAUUAACUUCUGAAAUAAAUCUUUCUUGAACCAAAUAUUUAGGUGCUACUGAUGUGGUGGAACAGAAAGUCAAGUGUUAUUGACAAUUUAUCAAACUCGAAUGGAUUUGAAAUACAUAAAAUAGUAAAAUAUAUUUCUAACUGUUUUCUAGGUAACAGCAAUUGUCUUUAAUUUGAUUGAGACUUGAGAGAAAGAGAUGGGGAGCAAUUGCUCCAAAGGGAGGAGAGAGGAGAGGGACAUUACCGCUUUCUCCAAAAAGAGAAGUUUGUCUUUGGGAAGAAAAAAGGAGUACACUGAAGGGAGGAAAGCAGAGGGCAACAGUGGAGAAACGCUCUUUCAACAAAGUCUUCCUGGCCUACAAUCCCCAGUCUCCCCAGCCUACAAUCCCCAGCCUACAAUCCCCAGUCUCCCCAGCCUACAAUCCCCAGUCUCCCCAGCCUACAAUCCCCAGUCUCCCCAGUCUACAAUCCCCAGUCCCCCCAGACCGACAAUCCCCAGUCUUCCCAGCCUACAAUCCCCAGUCUUCCCUCACAGCUGAGGGUGGAAGCAGUCUAUGUGCCCCAGUGAUCAGCAAUAAGGAAGUAGGAGGUAACAUCAACAUCACUCAGAACAACACUCAGAACAACGAUGACUCCUCCCAGGUUGCACAAUGCAGUGCCACGCUAAAAGGUGAGUUGCGUGGUGGUCUGUCUCCAGUAUCCAGAGAGACCCAGAGCGCAUCAAGGAACACACACUACCACCACAAUAUGAAGAGAAAGACAACACAAAGAAGACACAAUACAUAAUGAAUGAUAAAUACAUCUGCUUAAUGCAUUAUUAUGAUGCAUGACAUAGGAGCUAACAGGUUAUUUUGCAUUGCGUAUUAUGCAGAUGAAUGCACAUAUAAUGCAUUAUGAAGAGGGUAUUCAUAGGAGGUGUUACCAUAGGAGGUGUUACCAUAGGAGGUGUUACCAUAGCCAUAGGAGGUGUUACCAUAGGAGGUGUUACCGUAGCCAUAGGAGGUGUUACCAUAGGAGGUGUUACCAUAGGAGGUGUUACCAUAGCCAUAGGAGGUGUUACCAUAGGAGGUGUUACCAUAGCCAUAGGAGGUGUUACCAUAGGAGGUGUUACCAUAGCCAUAGGAGGUGUUACCAUAGGAGGUGUUACCAUAGGAGGUGUUACCAUAGGAGGUGUUACCAUAGCCAUAGGAGGUGUUACCAUAGCCAUAGGAGGUGUUGCCAUAGGUGGUGUUACCAUUGGAGGUGUUACCAUAGGAGGUGUUACCAUAGGAGGUGUUACCAUAGCCAUAGGAGGUGUUACCAUAGGUGUUGUUACCAUAGGAGGUGUUACCAUAGCCAUAGGAGGUGUUACCAUAGGAGGUGUUACCAUAGGAGGUGUUACCAUAGCCAUAGGAGGUGUUACCAUAGGAGGUGUUACCAUAGGAGGUGUUACCAUAGGAGGUGUUACCAUAGCCAUAGGAGGUGUUACCAUAGGAGGUGUUACCAUAGCCAUAGGAGGUGUUACCAUAGGAGGUGUUACCAUAGGAGGUGUUACUAUAGGGUGUGUUACCAUAGGAGGUGUUACCAUAGGAGGUGUUACUAUAGGAUGUGUUACCAUAGGAGGUGUUACUAUAGGAUGUGUUACUAUAGGAUGUGUUACUAUAGGAGGUGUUACAAUAGGAGGUGUUACCAUAGCAGAUGUUACUAUAGGAGGUGUUACCAUUGGAGGUUUUACCAUACGCAUACGACACACAAUUAACCUCUAGACGGUCGCCUAGGAUAGGGGGCGCCACAGCGCAUUUUGAAAAAAAUUAGUGCCCAUUUUCAACGACCUACUACUCAAACUCAGAAGCUAGGAUAUGCAUAUAAUUAAUACUUGUGGAUAGAAAACACCCUAAAGUUUCUAAAACUGUUUGAAUGGUGUCUGUGAGUAUAACAGAACUCAUAUGGCAGUCAAAACCCCGAGACAGAUCGAAACAGGAAGUGGAAUUCUGAAUUGCGAACUCAACUUCAUCACGUUGCCUAUUAAUCACACCGUGAGCUAUGGUUCAUUGAGCACUUCCUAUUGCUUCCAAUAGAUGUCCCCAGUCUUUACAAAGUGAUUUGAGUCUCCUACUGUGAAAACUGACAGAAUGACACGCUGUGGAACAUGGUCACACGGAGAGGGCCAUCACCAUUAUGACGCCGGCGCCCCUGGUUACCCUCCCCUUUCGAAACGUUUUGAAACACAAUGCAAUCGUCCCCCUCGAAUCUUAUUGGAGCUCUCGUUGAAAAAGGCCCUAGAGAUUUAUGUUAUACAACGUUUGACAUGUUUGAACGAACCUAAAUAAGAAAAAAAUGCAUUUUUUUGAAAGAGUAGCCCCGCGCACGUCGGAACUUUUGGUGCAGCUUUCAGAACACGCUAACAACAACAAGCUAAUGGAACAUAAAGGAUGACAUUUUUAGAACGAAAAUACAUUUGUUGUGGACCUGGGAUUCCUGGAAGUGCCUAAGGAUGAAGAUAAUCAA
rnacentral:lncRNA from 1 species